rnacentral:rRNA from 1 species
UGCGUAGGCGGAUUAAUAAGUCAGUGGUGAAAUCUUUCGGCUCAACCGAGAAACUGCCAUUGAUACUGUUAAUCUUGAGUUCGGUUGAGGUAGGCGGAAUGUCUAAUGUAGCGGUGAAAUGCUUAGAUAUUACACAGAACACCAAUUGCGUAGGCAGCUUACUAGACCGACACUGACGCUGAGGCACGAAAGCGUGGGGAGCGAACAGGAUUAGAUACCCUGGUAGUCC